GAUGAACGCUGGCGGCGUGCCUAAUACAUGCAAGUCGAGCGAACAGACGAGGAGCUUGCUCCUCUGACGUUAGCGGCGGACGGGUGAGUAACACGUGGAUAACCUACCUAUAAGACUGGGAUAACUUCGGGAAACCGGAGCUAAUACCGGAUAACAUGUUGAACCGCAUGGUUCAACAGUGAAAGACGGUCUUGCUGUCACUUAUAGAUGGAUCCGCGCCGCAUUAGCUAGUUGGUAAGGUAACGGCUUACCAAGGCAACGAUGCGUAGCCGACCUGAGAGGGUGAUCGGCCACACUGGAACUGAGACACGGUCCAGACUCCUACGGGAGGCAGCAGUAGGGAAUCUUCCGCAAUGGGCGAAAUCCUGACGGAGCAACGCCGCGUGAGUGAAGAAGGUCUUCGGAUCGUAAAACUCUGUUAUUAGGGAAGAACAAAUGUGUAAGUAACUAUGCACGUCUUGACGGUACCUAAUCAGAAAGACACGGCUAACUACGUG
rnacentral:rRNA from 1 species